AUUGGUUGGACAGGAAAAAGAUUAAUGAGAUAUAUCGCUAUAAAACAGAAGAAUAUUCUACAGAUGCCAUCAACAAGUUCAAUAUCUACCCAGAUCAAAUUCCAUCUUGGCUUGUGGAUUGGAUUCCAGAGAUUGGUGGAUAUCUUGUUGGCAAUUUACAACCUGCACAUAUGGAUUUUCGUUUUUUCACUCAUGGAAAUAUUUGGACCAUUAUUUCAUCACUAGGAUCUCAUGAACAGAAUGAAUCUAUAUUUUGAAUUUGAUUGAAGACAAAUGGGAUGACCUCAUGGGGAAAAUGCCUCUAAAGAUUUGUUACCCAGCUUUAGAACAUGAAGAAUGGCGCAUUAUCACUGGCAGUGACCCUAAGAAUACCCCCUGGUCAUAUCAUAAUGGUGGUUCAUGGCCUACUCUACUGUGGCAGUUUACCCUUGCUUGU
rnacentral:misc_RNA from 1 species